rnacentral:rRNA from 1 species
GAUGAACGCUAGCGGCAGGCCUAAUACAUGCAAGUCGAACGGUGUCUUCGGACAUAGUGGCGCACGGGUGCGUAACACGUAUGCAACCUACCUUACAUUGGGGGAUAGCCUUUCGAAAGGGAGAUUAAUACCGCAUAAGACAGUAGCUGGGCAUCCAGCAGCUGUUAAAGAUUUAUCGAUGUAAGCUGGGCAUGCGUCCAAUUAGCUAGUUGGUGAGGUAACGGCUCACCAAGGCAAUGAUUGGUAGGGGAACUGAGAGGUCAAUCCCCCACACUGGCACUGUGAUACGGGCCAGACUCCUACGGGAGGCAGCAGUAGGGAAUAUUUGGCAAUGGACGCAAGUCUGACCCAGCCAUGCCGCGUGCAGGAUGAAGGCGUUAUGCGUUGUAAACUGCUUUUAUACAGGAAGAAACGACUCUUGCGAGAGGCAUUGACGGUACUGUAUGAAUAAGCACCGGCUAACUCCGUGCCAGCCGCCGCAGUAAUAC